rnacentral:rRNA from 1 species
AGAGUUUGAUCAUGGCUCAGAAUCAACGCUGGCGGCGUGCCUAACACAUGCAAGUCGAACGCGAAAGGGGCUUCGGCCCUGAGUAGAGUGGCGAACGGGUGAGUAACACGUGGGUGACCUACCUUCGAGUGGGGGAUAACGUCCCGAAAGGGGCGCUAAUACCGCAUAACAUCCUGCCUUUGAAGAGGCGGAGAUCAAAGCCGGGGAUCGCAAGACCUGGCGUUUGAAGAGGGGCCCGCGUCCGAUUAGCUAGUUGGUGAGGUAAUGGCUCACCAAGGCGACGAUCGGUAACCGGCCUGAGAGGGCGGACGGUCACACUGGGACUGAGACACGGCCCAGACUCCUACGGGAGGCAGCAGUGGGGAAUUGUUCGCAAUGGGCGCAAGCCUGACGACGCAACGCCGCGUGGAGGAUGAAGGUCUUCGGAUUGUAAACUCCUGUUGCCCGGGACGAAAAGCUUCGACCUAACACGUCGAAGUCUGACGGUACCGGGUGAGGAAGCCCCGGCUAACUCUGUGCCAGCAGCCGCGGUAAUACAGAGGGGGCAAGCGUUGUUCGGAAUUACUGGGCGUAAAGGGCGCGUAGGCGGCCUGCUAAGUCGAACGUGAAAUCCCUGGGCUCAACCCAGGAACUGCGUUCGAUACUGGUGGGCUUGAAUUCGGGAGAGGGAUGCGGAAUUCCAGGUGUAGCGGUGAAAUGCGUAGAUAUCUGGAGGAACACCGGUGGCGAAGGCGGCAUCCUGGACCGGCAUUGACGCUGAGGCGCGAAAGCCAGGGGAGCAAACGGGAUUAGAUACCCUAGUAGUCC